UCGUCCGUCUUGUUCGUUCUGUUUGUUAAAAACAAACGCGAUGCAAACAAAUGCGUUUACGCGUUUAUGUGUCUGUCUCCCGAGUUCUUUUUAUCAACAUUUCUCUGUGACCUGGCUUUCGUUCUUGGAUUGCUAUCUGCCUCAUCUGAUAACCAUGGCAUGUGUUGUAUGGACUUGAGACACAUCGUGCGAUUUGACUUUGUUGUUUUGAUAAACAUCCUCCAUAGGAUCCGAUUGAAAUCACAAUCAUGGCGCUCUGUAUUUCAUGUUCUUCUGUUAAAUAAAUGAAGAUUCCCGAUACUAUCAGUGUAGUGAAAUGGGCCCUGAAAUCAUUUCUAUUAUUCAAAAUGCCAUAGGCCAAAAGGUCCGGAGUCGUACUCAUAACCUAACAGACUAUGCCAGGCAGUUUAAUGAAGAAAAUAUUUCACCACAAGUAAAUUGCACCCGAAGAUGGCUUAGUGUGCUAUGAGUGUUGAGUAAGAGUUACACGAUCUCUUCCGCAGCAAGAAGUUGAAGCUUACAGGAAAGCAGAGAACCCUCGACAAUUAAUACUUGUGUAUGGUGCUUAGGCUCUCUUGUUGAGACCAGAAGGCAUUCAUUGCCCGAGGGACUGGAACAGGAUGAAAUAAUUGCAAGAUUUUUCCUAGAGAUUCCAUGUGGCUGGUGGCCAUGUAUGUUAUGCGUGCUGGGUUUCAGCAUGUAAAAAUGUGCAACGAGCCCGGAACUCCUCUCUGAAGGCAAACUUGUGCCAUAACUACUGGGCCAGCAAGAAUUAGCAACCAGGCCCUGUGUUAGCAAGGGUUGUGAAUAAAGCCUCGCCAUCAUUCUGGAAGAAAAAUAUGUACUCAUACAAUCACCAUUGUUUGGUACUUGUUGGGCUCGGCUAGUAUCCUGCUAUUGCUGCACCGGCCUCAUUUUUCGAAUAUUUUAAUAAGGGAAGAUGAUGAUUGAAUAAAAACUAAUGAAAAUAA